rnacentral:rRNA from 1 species
UGCAGUCGUGCGAGAAAGUAUCUUCGGAUAUGAGUAGAGCGGCGGACGGGUGAGUAACGCGUAGGAAUCUACCUAGUUGAAGGGGAUAGCCCGGGGAAACUCGGAUUAAUACCGUAUACCUCCUUCGGGAGAAAGAAGGCCUCUCAUUGAAGCUUUCGCUACUAGAUGAGCCUGCGUAAGAUUAGCUUGUUGGUGAGGUAAAGGCUCACCAAGGCGACGAUCUUUAGCGGGUCUGAGAGGACGAUCCGCCACAUUGGGACUGAGACACGGCCCAGACUCCUACGGGAGGCAGCAGUGGGGAAUAUUGGACAAUGGGCGCAAGCCUGAUCCAGCCAUACCGCGUGUGUGAAGAAGGCCCUAGGGUUGUAAAGCACUUUAAGUUGGGAAGAAAAGUUAUUGGUUUAUACCCAAUAGCCGUGACAUUACCAUCAGAAUAAGGACCGGCUAAUUCCGUGCCAGCAGCCGCGGUAAUACGGAAGGUCCAAGCGUUAAUCGGAAUUACUGGGCGUAAAGCGCGCGUAGGUGGUUUAUUAAGUUGGAUGUGAAAUCCCCGGGCUCAACCUGGGAACUGCAUCCAAAACUGAUUCACUAGAGUACGAUAGAGGGAGGUAGAAUUCACAGUGUAGCGGUGGAAUGCGUAGAUAUUGUGAAGAAUACCAAUGGCGAAGGCAGCCUCCUGGAUCUGUACUGACACUGAGGUGCGAAAGCGUGGGUAGCGAACAGGAUUAGAUACCCUGGUAGUCCACGCCGUAAACGAUGUCAACUAGCUGUUGGGGAACUAUGUUCUUCAGUGGCGCAGCUAACGUAGUAGUUGACCGCCUGGGGAGUACGGCCGCAAGGCUAAAACUCAAAUGAAUUGACGGGGACCCGCACAAGCGGUGGAGCAUGUGGUUUAAUUCGAUGCAACGCGAAAACCUUACCUAUACUUGACAUACUUGGAAUGCUUUGUAAUGAAGCAGUGCCUUCGGGAGCCAGGAUACAGUGCUGCAUGGCUGUCGUCAGCUC